rnacentral:piRNA from 1 species
UACCUAUAUGGAUGGAAUGGGUAGA